rnacentral:lncRNA from 1 species
AAACAGCCACAAAACAAAAACAUUAGCAGGAAAAACCCAAAAUGGAUACCAGCCAAAAGCCUUACGAUUGAAAAAACCCAUUCAAAGCUCGAAGGGGCCGAAAGAAGGUAGCUUUGAAGCCAGCAAUGGAGAUUCAAACUGAACCUUCUCCAACCUUCAAAGCUCAGAAAACCCUUAACGAUGAUGAAACCAUGCAGACUGAUCCAUCUCUACUAGCUUUGCAACAGGAUCCGGAGCUUCCUCAACCCAGAAACAAGAGGUGUUUCGAUGGCGUCCAUCCAUUGCCAAAGCGUGCGCCGCCCUAUUAACCUCUCUGGGAACAAAACGGUACACAACGUUAUCAAAAGCUCUCUAAUAAUUGAAUAUUUUGCGUAAUCGAUCUAAGGAUAGAUCUGUCCUCUUUGGUCGAGUUUAAUUUUUUGAUAGUUGUCAGGGAGUCUCCUUCCAAGAUAAGUUUACUGAAGCCCAUAUCCUACGCAAAAUAAAGAGCCCUUUCACACAUACGCAUUUCUACAACAAGCACCCAUAAUCUGGCCUUCCGCAUCUCUAGCUAGGACUGCUACAAUAGAUACAUUAGUGUUGCUCAUAAAAGAAGCAUCAAAGUUCAGUUUAAUAUUUCUAACUGUAGGUGGUUGCCACAAAACGUUCAUUGCUACUUCCAGAGGAGAGACAAUAACUUUACUACUGCUAAAAUCCUGAGCAUAGCUCAGAAUAAAGCCCAUAAGUUCACGUAUCCUGAAGUUAAGUCCCUCAUUUACCAACUUAUUCCUUUUAUACCAAAGAGCCCACAAAGAAAUAGUAAUGAGUUUCUUGGACAACAUAUCAGCAGCUAGAAAAUUAUUACAAAUUGUGUUUUCCAUUCGAGGUAUCAAUGCUGGAGUCGAAAGAGAGAUUCAAAAGAACCCAGAGUUGUCUCAAGACGCUACAAGUCCAAAAUAAGUGAUGUGAAUCCUUUGGAGCCUCAUUGCACAAAGGACAGGUAGUAUCAACUCGCAGUCUCCGUUUGGCCAAAUUACAGAAAUGAGGCACAUAAUUUUUUAGGAUACGCCAUAGAUGAAUUUUAAUUUUAGCAGGGAGCUACAAGCCCCAAGUUGAUGUAUAAAGUGUUUUGUAAUUAUCCGAUGAGGCCAAAAUACCAUCUUUAAAUUGGGUCAUUUUUGUAAGUAAUGUUCGGUAGCCGCUCUUAACCGAAAACUCCCCAGAAGCAUCAUGGCGCAAGACCAAUGUAUCCUGAGCAUUACAACCCGUAAGAGGAAUAGUAAGGAUGCGCCUAACCUGUUCAUCAUCAACAAUCUUGCAAAUUACAGCCUUGUUCCAGGUACCAGUGUUAGCAUUAAUUAACUGAUCAACAGUUGUCCAGUGAGUAUCUAUAGCCUGUACUAACAAUCUACCAUUCCAAGGACCAAGCAACCAGGGGUCAUUCCAGAUGUUCACCUUCGUACCACAGCCAAUUCGCCGCAGAAGUCCAUCAUCAAACAGCUCCCUCACACAGCAGAUACUUCUCCAGGUAAAAGAAGGGUAAGAGCCGAUUUUAGUUCACAAAAUAUCAGUGAAUGGAUAAUAACGAGAUUUAAGAACUUUAGAUAAAAGACAAUCGGACUGCGAUAAAAGACGCCAAACUUGCUUAGCUAAAAGAGAUUUAUUAAAUAAAUAAAGAUCCCAAAAACCCAGCCUACCAUUAACCUUUGGCAAACAUAGUGCACUCCAGGUACUCUAGUGAAUUCCUUUCGCAGAUUUACUGUUUGACCACCAAAAUUUAUUCAUAAUACGAUGACAUUAUUCUUUUGGCAAUGCAAAACAUUGCAUAACAUAAACCAAUAUUGCUUGUAAAACUGCCUUUAUAAAAACCUCUUUACCACCCAUUGAAAGGUACCUAAAGCUCCACCUCUCUAUACGCCGUCGAAACCUGUCAACAAAAUUUGCAAAUGCCUUUUUUUUUCUACCCAAUUAUCAUGGGUAAACCCGAAUACUUUUCAGGGUUCAUUGACAUCCUAACACCCAGAGUGUUAAUAAUAAAAUUCCUAUCCUCAGCCCCCACACAAGCACCAAAAUAAAUGAGUGACUUGUCCAAAUUAAUUUGUUGUCCUGAUGGAAAUUCAUAUUCCAAAAGGAUCUUGCUUACAAUGUGUGCCCGUUCAGCCGAAGCAUCACCAAAAAUGAUGCAAUCAUUUUCAAACAACAAGUGGGUAAUCGCUAACUUACCCCUACCAAUCAAAACUCAUCGCAUUGUAUGAUUACGCUUAGCCAUUUUCAAUAAAGAAGAAAGACCUUCCGCACAAAGAAGAAAAAGGUAAGGGUUAAGCUGGUCGCCUUGCCUUAGUCCUUUCGACGGAGUAAAAUGAUCACUAACAUCCUCAUUAAUACCCACUAUAUAUGUAACCAAGCAAACACACCGCAUAAUGAGAACAAUCCAAUUUUGAUGAAAAUUCAGUCUAGACAUCAUUCCAGCCAAAAAAUCUCAUUCCACCCGGUCAUACGCUUUGCUAAGGUUAAGUUUAAGCGCAAAAUUCUCGUUUUUAUUCUUUUUCUUUAUCUUAAGAGAAUGAAGCACCUCAUAGGCAAUUAAUGUAUUGUCUGAUAUAUGCCUCCCGGGAAUAAAAGCACCCUGAGAUUCAUCAAUACAAUAUUUUAGAAUUGGACUCAUACGAGCUACCAGUACCUUCGCAAUAAUCUUAUAAAACAUGGUGCAUAAGUUGUAGGCCUAAACUGAGACAGAUUUUUUGGUUUGUCCACUUUGGGGAUGAAAACCAAAUGAGUUCUAUUAAUGUUGCCCAUUUCAAUUCUGCCAUUUAAAACCUCCAAACAAUAGUUUAAGAUCUCAUCACCUACAAGAUGCCUAAGAAAUAAAUAUGGUUAGUUGGGGAUAAUAUUUGUAUCUUUUUGAAAAUAAAAUAGUUAUUUUAUCCUUUAUUUUUCUUUUAUUUUUUUCUCUCCCUCAAUUUUUCCCACGUUCAAUUGUGGGGUAGUUUUCAUUUUUAUAUUUUUCCCUUUUUUCCUUCCUUUAUUUAUACAUCUGUUCUUCUUUCUCAACUCUUUGGUUCUCUUUUAUUUUCCUUGGUUGCAAGGAUUGUUCUCUUACAUUCUUGUCAAUACUGGUUGAGUUCCUUUGUUUCGGUUGUGGGCUUAAAUCGUAGAG